rnacentral:lncRNA from 1 species
CUAGCCCGUGCGGAUGCACAGGUUGAUGGACUAGUUUAUCCUAAGUCUAUAUUUCAAUAAAUUUUUACCCAAAAAACAAGAUAAAAAAUGUGUUGACAAAGGCAAGUUAUUAGGCAUGCUUGCUUGCAUAUAUGCAAGAUUCACACCACACAUUUUCUACCAUACCAAUCACACGGUCAUACAUUUAUUAAAACUCCAAUUGCUCGACCAUCAAGCAAGAGACAGGUCAAUGAACAAGCUGUUGGACAGGGAUGGAGGUGGAAGAUGUUGGGUGGCAGCAGCAGUGGGGGUCCUGCCCAACCAUCUCACAUGAUCCAGCACCAGUCCUACCCGAGGCACCGCACAUUGCGGUGCACACUGCUUCUGUACAGGUUCUAACUUUGGAGCAAAUCGGCUGCCCCUCUUGCAGCUGGAAGCUGUCCCUGCUUGCUGACACAGCGCCAGUGAGGAGGGCCAUCAACAGCGGAACGACAACAAAGACAGUAGUCCUCUUGGAGUACGCCGUGAACUGUGCCAUGGGGCUUGCUAGACUUUCGUAUGUAGGGAGACUGGGAGAGUAAUGGUUUCUUGAUGAU